ensembl:lncRNA
GAAGCCCUCUACUGCACUGCCAUCAACACAGAGGGACAAGGCCAAUUCAGCCCCCUGAAGCUCAACGUAGAGUAUCCCCCUGAGAUCAAAGUGGGCUCUGCCUGCACUUCAGACAUCUCCAUGGUAACCUGUCUGUGCAUUGUGAAUUUGGAGCCCCCCGGCACCGUGGAGUGGUCUCUUCCAGCCGAACCCCUGCCCACCCUGCCCAGUACCAGACUUGAAAGGCAUGGGUCAGUUACCAUGGUGACCCUACAGAGGGCACUAGGCUUCUCAGAGACGAUCCACUGCCAUGCCAGCAAACACCCAGGGCAAUGCCACCUUGUCCUUCACUGUGCCCACAAAUGAUAAGAUGUCGAUGCUGUACGUUUCAAUUGGUAUUGCUGCAUUAGUGGUGGUAGUAAUACUAGUUCCCAUGUCAGCUUGCCGAUUGAACAAGAAGGGUGGGAGGAGUCAUAGUGACCUGCCAGUAGCCAGUAUACAGGACAUGGAUGCAGCCAAGUGUGCUUCCUCAGAUCCCUCAACAUCAAGGAAAGAGCAGAAAGACACCAGCAGUGAAAUCCUCACAAACUACUACACCAACGAUCACCUAUAUGGCAACAUGGAGGCUAAAGAGCAUGGCGACCCAUGCGAGUGUGAUGGUGGAGAUGAUUCAGUCUAUGGUAACGUGUGAACACAACAGGAAGCAUGUUGAAGUCAGCUGGUUCAGAGCCAAUGGUACUCAGUCUGUCAAAGGUUCCAGUGAAAUAUUAAAAUUUAACCCAAUGUAGCAUAACAGGUGACUGCUUAUAUUUGUUAGCUUGAUGUAGCUCUAUGGUUCUUAUGGCAUAAGAAUAUAGUACAUUCUUAUUUGGGCUGUGGCGUUUAUGUUACGGCUUUUACAAGGCGUUUGUUUAUUAUCUGUGGCUUGGGUGAGUUUUUACUUCAUGUUAAAUAUGCACAAUAAAAUAACCAGUAUUUAACAAUAGCUUGUUUCACCCUUCCCCAGCUGUCUGUUGAAAUUGUGUCUUGAGGGUUAUCUGAGGAUAGAAUACGAGUGUGGGACUUUCAGUUUCUCUGCUUGGGGUUGCUCUUUCAUUUAUGGAGAUUUUCAAAGUCUGUUUAUUUCCAUAUGGUUUGAACUAUUUCACAAUACCGAUUUUGUCAAAAUACUGUAGCUUUAGGUUUCUUGACCCUCUCUAUAAGAACAUACCAGUAACAGGCAUACAAAUCAAA